GCGCCCGUAGCUCAGUCGGAUAGAGCACAGGAUUCCUAAUCCUGGGGCCGCAGGUUCGAAUCCUGCCGGGCGCACCA
rnacentral:tRNA from 2 species